GAGGGGCAAAACAAUCAUGUUCGUCCGUUUCACCCACGUCCAACCCGCUUUUCACCGUGGCCGUUAGAUGCAGUCAUUUUUUCUGCACCUUUUGUCUUUAAACGAGCCAAUGACUCAUGGGACCAGCUGCGUAUGGGGGUCGCCUGUCGGAGACAGCCGCAGGUGUUCGUCCGCGUUACCUUCUUUCUCCUACCCGCGAGAGCAGUAAAAACCUAGAUCACGGGGCACCCAAUCCCCGCGUCUCCUCUCCUCCCCAAUCCCCGCUUCUCCUCUUCUCCAAUGGAGUCCAACCAGCCGCAUCCUUCCUCCUCCCCCGAUCCGCGCCGCCUUCUUCCUCCUCCCGCGAUCCGCACCGGCUCCUCUCCUCCUCCCGAAGGCGCCGAAGAAGGGACGCUGCAAAAGGGAUGAGAAGAGGCAGGAGGGAGCGCGGGCGCCGCCGCUGCCGCUUCGUACCUCGCAUCGGGAGGGCGUGGCCGUGCGAAGAGUAGGCGGGCGUGGGCUGCGUCAGCCGCCGCCUCGGGUCGACGCCGCCGUCGCGGGUUCUCCUCCAUGCCAUGGCCGACCACUCCCUGCGCUGCGUCCUGUCCUCGCCACCAUCAGCACCUCCACAUCCUAUUUCUAACCCCUGCCAGUAAAGAAGGAGAGUGGACGCGAGGAAGAGGAGGAGCGGCGGCAGGAAAGACGUCCUCACUCACACCCGUGGUUUGAUAAGGAGAUUUUUAUUUUGUUGUACUCCUAUUCCUGGAGGUGUUGGAGCAGAGCGGGCCUAGCCGGACAGUGGUGCUCCCCUGCCAUCUCCCUCCGUGGAGCUGCCUGUUGGUACUGACUAGAUUCAUGAUGGAUCUCUUUGGUAUGAAGCUAGCUUGGGAGAUGCCACUCUAUCAGAUCAACAAAUUACCAUGGAGAGCAUAGUGUAAGCAAGAGAUAGGAUGGAAUCAUUGAGGCAAUGAAGUUGCGAUGGGUAAUGACAUGUCGUGGCCAUGGGGAGUUUGGCUGUCGUCCUGGGCGGAGAGCGGCCGGAGUGGGAUUACCUUGCCUGCUUGAGCAGAUAGGGAAAGUAGGACCGAUUCCUUGACCUCCUUGUCAGGGUCUUGGGAAUGCUAUUAGGUAAAGGUGGAAACCCUUGUGUUGAAUAUCAUCGUUGGCGUAAAGAAUAGUGUAUCUGAUUCUGAUGUUAUUAUUGAGAUUAAUUAUGAGGACUUGGUGGCUAGGACAUUAAUUAUGAUUAGGGCAAUGUCCGCAAGAAGAAAUGUUAGAAAUGGCCACCUUUGAGCAGGCGCCAAUAAGUAGAGGAUGCUGAAGGCGCUGAUGGCUUACAUAGCGGGCUACCACAUUAUGUCCGAUGUCGUUUACGAGAAGCUCAAGCUCAGACUGAAGCGACCUCUGUUCUAUGGAUUGAAGAUGGGGCUUCUACCAUCUAUGAGAAGGGCUCUAAAUGUGUCUCUACAGGCCUUCUGCCGUUCAUUUGUCCUGAUUUUUAUUCUUCCUCGGCAAUUCAGAAUUGGAGGAUCCAUUGGAAGCCAAAUUAUCACCCAAAUCAGUAUUUUUAUGGUGACCACAGUCGUUUCCUUCUGUUGGGAAAUAAGCCAUCAUUUGUUCAGCGUGUGCAUACAAGAAGGGUGCCUUCUUCGAGGAAUCUGGUGAAACUUACAAAAGAAUUGUGAUAGCAUGUUUGAAGCCGCUUGAGGACGCACUCCAAAUAUUGCUGGAGCGCUCGAAGUUGUUUCGCGCCCCCACAGCUUGUCCCUUGGUGGUGGCCGGCCAUUUAUGCUCUGCUACUUGUGCUGCUGCUGCUCUCUGUCUCUCUGUCUUCCUCGAUGCUCAAGACAAGCAACAUGAGCAGUGGCCAGGCUGCCACUGCUUCUUCCCUGCGCAAUAUAGAUGCCAUCCUCGAUUGUCCUUCUUUGUUAUGUCAGAUGGUCGUCCUCGGCGCUGGAAAGAAGCCAUGCGCCCAUCUCCAUGCUCCAGAUCUGCAGGAGCUUCAUUGGGAAAAAACCACGUGUCUCCCAAUUAUGUUCGUCACCAGUCCAAUUAGGCACUGUUUAUGGAGAGCAUAUGAUGGAUAUUCCUGCAGCUAUGGAAAUGGACAUGAUCUAUCUGAUCCGUAAGAUGCCAACUUCCUGCUGUUCUACCCGGCUACGACGGGCUUCGUGUCUCUUUCUUUCCAAGUAGUGGCUCGGCUUCUCUGCCAGGCUUCGGGUUCUUGCAGGGAGAUAACUGGUGUGCUUUGGUUGUCUGGUCCAUGGUCUAGACGAUGCACUAACAUCACGGUUCUAGCUCUGCCCCCUUCAUAUAUCAGGUCAAUGUUCCCCUUUUUAAAUUCAGCCCAUGUGUAUGUACAACCGUUUCUAAUGGUAGUUUUCCCUUGUCUAUCCCCAGACCAUCUCCUCACCUGCGGCUCUUGAAAGGAAGAGCACAAGGCACACCACUGCACCGAGGUGUUGAGACGAGAGUAACCGCCUGGGAUAGUCCCUCUUGCUUUACAUGGCAUAAUCUUAUUUAUUAGAGGUCUGCGUUAGCAUGGGAUAGGAGGAAAGAGCAAGUGCAGAAAUAUCUAAGCCUACACAUUCUAAAUUGACAUGUGUUAAUCAGAGGACCUGUCAUGCUGCUUGCUAAAACAUGUAGUUGUCAAUAUUCACUAAUAACUGGAUCUUAAUCUUCUUUCCUACUAUAAUUGUCUGACACGGCUGGACAUCUCGUGGAUGGAGGUGCGCUGCGUGACGGCUGCAGAGGGGUUUGGUCGCACAGCAGAUUCACCGUCUAGGGAGAGGCAGCUGCAGGAAAUAUGUCUCCAGGCUCACCUCUAUCGAGAUUAUGAUGAUUGGCAUAAUUAGCCAUGGAACUUUUAUCUACCACUGCUAAAAAAAGGCGUGGAGCUAAGUUAUGCUUUCUCUAUCACUUAUUUAAUUACUGAAUCACUGAAUUCUAUCUGUAGUCAUUUUACAGCUUGGAUAGUAGUUGUCAUCUUGAGUCAUCUGCAGCUCAUCUGGCUCUGUUUGCAGUUAAAUUUAUGUACAAUCCGAGGCUAUGGCCCUGUGAUGUGCUUCACGCGAACUUCCUCCACCUAUGAAACUGCUUCAAUGCAUAAAAGUCUACUAUACGAGUGCCUGAUGGCGAGAAGGCGGGCUUCCAGCUGAUAUUAGUUGCAUGAUAAGCAAGCAUGAUCGACCCACAGAUAAUCAUGUAAGGCAUUUUCUUCAGACAAGAAAUUCCAUGUUACUACGGACCAACAACUCUUAUGAAUUAUAAGGAAGUGUUGGUAGGCUCCUUUUUUGAAAUUAACUUGUUUCCUGCAAGAUUUAUUAUUCAUUUCAUUAUGUGACUUCAGCAUGCCACUUUGUAUUUACUUAUCCAUCAUUUGUGGUCCUCGAUUCUUUCUGCAACUUAUUGCGCUAUUAUUUAUCUGGCUGUUGGCUUCGUGUAUUCUGGUUAGUUAUGGUAGCCUAUAUUUUUUUAAUGUCUCAAAUUUUGUCAUGUCUUUCACUGGCCCAUAAAUUAUUAUCUGUCUCUAGGUAUCGAAAUCCAUACAAUAUGGUUAGGAAAAUAAAGUAUUAUAUGUGCACUUACUAUCUCCUCUCCUGUUUUGUAAUUUUUUUCCUUUCUUUCCUUACCCUUUUAUUAUUGUUUGUGUGUAUAUAAUGGUCUCAGCAAAACACAGAGUUUCUUGCAUAUAUGUUGAUGACAUAUGCCUGCCAAAUGUUCCUCCACCAAAACAUGAUAUUAGUAUGUAAGGGUUUAACUAUUCUUCCGUCGAGGUGCUCACCGAGCCACCGAGCCAUCUAAUGAGUGGUGAGUAUAUAGUUGUUCUUGCAGAUGAAUUUUCCCAUGCAUGAUUUGAAGAAGAUGCACAAUUUUCUGACCAGGGAAGGUUCAUCGUUUCUUUCAAUUUGGUCAUUGUUGCCUUAAAAAAAGUGCAUCCUGGAUUAUGUGAAUGGAUCGUAUCAUAAUAGGUUCAUAACAACUGCAUUUACUUCCGGUUCGUGCGUGCACAGUUAUAUUUUUCUCCAAUGAGCUGGAUCAUAUUCGAUGCACUCCAUUUCAUAGUUUCAAAUUGUUUUUGGAUAUUCUUCCCUAAAUAGGAAUUAUUAUGUUGCAAUGAUGGGAUCUGUGGGCUUCUGUUAUUUAUACAUGUAAUUUACAUUUGUUUCUGGUUGAAGAAUAAGCAGUAGAUGGUAGUGUGCCGCAAUUGCUGGAAUUUGUAUGUGGUGCUUGUGUACUGAUGUCAAUUGCUUGGCGUUCUAGCCACUCUGGACAUUAAAAUAUGAUGCAAGCUUGCUUUUGUUUAUCUUUAUAUGAUGCAAGCUUCUAUUUGUUGCUUGCUGAUUCAUUUCUCUUUAUAUGAUGCAAGCUUGCUUUUUAGCGUUCCAGCCACUGUGGACAUUAAAUUAUGAUGCAAGCUUGCUUUUGUUUAUCUUUAUAUGAUGCAAGCUUCUAUUUGUUGCUUGUUGAUUCGUUUCUCUUUAUAUGAUGCAAGCUUGUUUUCUCCGAGUCGACAUAGAAUGGUAGAUCAAUUCAUUCCAGCCAUUGUGGACAUAUGAUGCACAUGUUUUGGUAUAACAAUCAUUGGUGUCAACCUUUUUCUUGCUAUUAAUAAUUGAUAGUGCAUAUUUACUCCUAUUGCUAAAUUCUGGACUGGUGAUAUCUUUGUGGCAAGAAGAUAAUGGCAAUAUUUUAAAGCACUGGUUACUGAUAAGAACACAUAUAUUCCAAGUUUCAGUUAACUUGCUUUGAUUUUCUUAUGUAUAAUUUCUAUUUCUCAAGAGAGUUCUUUAUAAUUAUAAUUGGUUACAGAAGUUUCAGUGCUUAUAGAUGGAUAGAAUAUAGGUUUACUGAUAGACUAUGCUUUCUAUUAUUUGUUGAAGUGAUAUAUGAUUGUUAGCUGAAUAGUAUUAAGUGUUCAUAGAAGGUCAUCGCUUCAUCCGCGGAUACCGUUUAUCAUGUAUAAAUCACUUCAAUCUCUUAGAGGUGUUUUUCGGUCUGAUUUGUUUGUGUAAGUUUUGAUGUACCUUUUUCUUUCCUUUAAUGGCAAUAUUUUAAAGCACUGGUUACUGAUAAGAACACAUAUAUUCCAAGUUUCAGUUAACUUGCUUUGAUUUUCUUAUGUAUAAUUUCUAUUUCUCAAGAGAGUUCUUUAUAAUUAUAAUUGGUUACAGAAGUUUCAGUGCUUAUAGAUGGAUAGAAUAUAGGUUUACUGAUAGACUAUGCUUUCUAUUAUCUGUUGAAGUGAUAUAUGAUUGUUAGCUGAAUAGUAUUAAGUGUUCAUAGUAGGUCAUCGCUUCAUCCGCGGAUACCGUUUAUCAUGUAUAAAUCACUUCAAUCUCUUAGAGGUGUUUUUCGGUCUGAUUUGUUUGUGUAAGUUUUGAUCUACCUUUUUCUUUCCUUUUUGUUGGUAAUUCGUUGGCUGAGAUCUGCACUGGCUUUGAAGAAGUGUCUUUUUCAGUAUGAUUUGUUUGUGGAAGUUUCAAAAAAUGUGCACAAAUAUAAUGGGGUACUGUGAGCUGGGAGAAGAAAAGGAAAGGUACAAACCGGCCUUUUUUCUGGACGGCUUACAGAUUGAGAGUGGGGUGCUCUUUUUAUUUCCAAUCUCAUUUGUUAUGGAGCCCUUCGUUUUCUUUUUUCUAUUUCUCUCGUUGAGAUCCGUACUGACUGAAGGUUACCAUGUUCUUUUGGCAGUGCACAAGUCUCUCUCAUGUUCUUCACGCGAGUAUACAUAUCCAUGGGAUUGUGAUUUAUUUUAUUUGCAGAGCAUUUAAGCUGCCAAAUAUUGUGUUCAUUUGAUAUGAUUAUACUGAUGCAAGGACAUUAAUUAUUAUCUUUUGUUCAUGUAUGUUUGAUUGAAGCUACUGAAGUUGCUUCAUGGUUAAUGGAUAAAUGAUUAAAAAGGACAGCCCAGUACAUGAAGUUACUCAACCUGACCUUUGUUCAUGUUCCAGAGCUCUAAUUUCAUGUUGCUACUGGAUUUACAACUCCCGAGUGAACUAUUUUGUCCCCUCGGCUGGCUUAGUUCUCGGUGAGCAUAUCUGAUUUCUAGCUUGGCCUGUGAGGAAUCGACUUACAAGUGCCAUGGAGUUCUGUUGUCGGUGACUGGUGUCUGCUGAACCAUGUGAUAAGACAAGGCAUCGCUCAUGUCCUGGUCUUGCUCCUUUUUCGGUGCUUCUGAGUCCGCUGAGCUUGGGAGACAUGGUCAAUGCCAGGUGCGCAAGCAUGUUGAUGGUUACCAUCCAGGAUCAUCGGCAAACGUCAAGGAGUAUAGAAGUGUUAUUUGGACUCACCAAAAAAGAUAUGUUCCUUCAACUAUUAUUGUAUGUUGCUCCAGCCUUUUGUUAACCGGUCGAUCCAGAGGCACAAGAGUUUGGGCCAUUCACAGUGAUGUAAUGCUAUAACAUAGGUGUUGAUCUAGAAGCGGAUGAUUAGCAAAUUCCGGCAGAAUCGUUCCAGAAGGGUUUCAAAUUUUCCAUUAUAAAUUUGAGAACAUUUUCAGAGAAUGCACACAUAAGUACCAUCACUACAGUUCUAUAAUGUACCUAUGGUAGUACUAUCCUUAAGUAAUGUUUUUGUACCUAUGCUAUUGCUGGCCUACUUUAUUUAUGUAUAAAUUAGUUUGUACCUGCUGCCACUACUAUUCACUGAGUAAGAAAAAUGGUUGAAUGUAUAUGUAUAAAAUUGACAUCUGUUCUGUUA